rnacentral:lncRNA from 1 species
GCCUCACACGACCACGCCGUCACACAUCGCACAGAAACAGCCGCCACGGCAAAAGCUGCUGGAGGGGGAACAGCUGACCCUGCAGGCACUUUGGUCCACAGCUGAUCAGCCAGUACCAUCAGUACCAUGUGCAGUUAGAUGCUUUUCAGAGGAGGAACACAGAUGGCACGCCUGCACCUCCUCCUCCUCCUCCUCCUCCUCCACCUCUUCCACAGGAGGAAGUGAUGGAUGUGGUGCUGCAGCACGAGGAGCAACCACCUCUUCCUGCAGAGCCAUACCAACGUGUGGCUGCAGCUCGUGAAGAAUACCUCCAGAGGAGGCAGGAGGCCAACCUGUACAAGCUGAGAGCAGAGAAACAGCUGGGUCUGCGUCCGUGCACGGCUGAGCGCGGCAGGAAGCCUGUAGGUCAGGAGCAGGAGGUGGUGGGCGGAGCUGAACAGCAGCACAAGCUUCAGGACAGAAGACAGGAAGGACAGCAGGUGGACAGACAGACGGACAAAAGCUGCUCAUGGUCAGAAGCAUGCGGGAGUGAAGCAGGUGUGUGUGUGUGUGUGUGUGUGUGUGUGUGUGUGUGUGUGUGUGUGUGUGUGUGUGCAGGAAUACCUGCGUCAGCUGGAGCUCAUCAGGCAGGAGUACCACCGAGACGUGAGGCUGAUGAGGCAGAGACCUGCAGCACAGGUACGCCGACUCACCCAACACGGCUGGAGGGAGAUGCAGCUCAAACAAACAACAAUGACCCCUCUGUGGUGGGAUGUUUAAUAAUAUGUAACCCCAGCUUUAAGUGAGGGGGGGUUCCUUAUGAUAACCCCCACGGAAUGUUCCAUUUCUAUCAGUAAUAGUAGGUAGUACAGUAAAAAUAAAUUACAAAUAAUUAUACCAUGGUCCGGGUGAAUACCCGGAUCCUGAUUGGCUGCUGGAUGUGCAUUAAAAAGCAAUAAUGCACGGUGAUAACCGCACGCCUAAAAAAGUAGGUCUGGGUCACAUAGCUUGAAUGUUCUGUAUCACUGCGCCAGCUUCUUUAAAACAGACAUUAUCUUCAUCAUGUGGACAAAAACAAGCGGUGUAACCCUUGUGCUAUCCUAUGACCCCCCCCCCCCCUUCCAUUUCCGUGUUCUCCCUACCAGGACAAAGGUGGAUAAAUUUAUUUGUGAAUAAAGAGAACCAAAUUGGAUUAAUAACAAUAAUAAAGGACUAAUAGUGACCAUAGUAUAAGCGGGUUAAUGGCCAACAAAGUGUGCAUUAUCUGAAAUUAACGCACUAAUUUCUGAUAAUGCACACUUCGUUGGCCAUUAACUCUCACAUAAGGUAAAUAAAUGAAGGCAGAAAGUGUCUUUCCUCAAUCAAACUUGGUUCUUUACAAAUUCCAACAACAAAUUCGUAUUAAUUUGAGCUUUUACAGACAGUAAAUCCAACUUGGCCGUUGUCCCAAAAAGGACCGUUUUACCCAAAGAAGAGGCCAAAACGUCAGCCAGCUCAAGUGUGGUGAUUGGUCACUGACUUAUCAUCCAACUACUAACGGCAUGUUUCAUUUCAAAAUGUCAAAGGGCCAAAAUAACGGUUAACGUCUUCCAAUAGAAGGUUAAAAGUACAAAGCAAAGACAGAAAAAGGAAAAAUCUGAAUCUAAAUAAGUUCUAAAGUAACAUUAGAAUAUAAACAAAGUUUGUUUGUAAAAGUUGAAGGCUUUUUCCUCCGCACAGCGUAUGACGUCACGCCAGGGCGGAGGAGAUUGUUGAAAAGUAAUCAAAGUUUGAGGUUCAUUUGUGUAAAAACUGUAAACUGCAUAACAACAAGACUAAAAUAAGUUGCAGUCCAAAGACUUGUGAGCAUUUUAACAUUUUGAUGGUGUCUCUAGCUGACAGAAUGCCAAAAUAAGAAGUUUGGUGAAAAUGUCGGAAGCCUCUUUCGUUGAAACCCAUUAUAAAGCGGAAAUUACCACAAAAUUUAAAGGUUUAUAUUUCAGAAACUAAAACAUCUUUAAAAAAUCUAAAAGACUUGGAAUCAGUUUAUAGUCUUGUGAAUAAUUUGUAGUUUGAAUGGUGUCUUUAGCUAAAAGUAUGUUGAAGUUAUAAUGGUCAAAAGAAGCAAAGGUUUUCAAGGAUUCCCCAUUUAUUUCAAUGGAGGCAAAAAUCCUGGAAAAUCUUGAAAAGUUCAAGGAUUUGAAGGAGCAAAAGUCACAGCUGGAAAAAGUUGAAAGAGCUGAACAUUUGAAAAGUUGAAUGAUUGAAAUAGAUGAAACUUUGAAGGAGUGAAACACCAAAGAAUGGUUUUGAUUAAAAUGACUCCAAAACAGGUAACCUAUCAGUCCAAAGGUAAGAGAUCAGCGCUUUACAUUCAAGCAAAAUCCUCUGAUCUCAUUCAGAGGUUCUUAUUUAGUGAAGACAGCAAUGAGAAACAGGAAAGCGAAGGAAAACGUCUUCUCUUUGUUUAGUCACAUAAAUCUGGGCUUCAUCAGAAAAGGGUUGCAAUGAUUUACUAAGUAGAACAAAACUACUAAACAAAGGCUGAACCAGAGUUUCAUCCACUUGUUGUGGCCGUGGGUCCAAAUAUAGUAGAAUCCAUUAGGACGGAGCUUUUGUAGGUUUCUGCUGAGCCUUCAGACACGUCCCAAGCAUCAGCUGGAUCACUGCACAGCGCUGAGCAGGAAAUGGAAAGGCUGGAAGACGGCCCCCCCCGAAGACUGACGUCAUGCUCCGUUCCACAGCUCCAACGUGGAACCUUUGUGGUGGAGAAACCUGGACACCCAGAGGCGUCUGUAGUGCCGGUAAGAUCCAGAUCUGCUGAGAUCCGGUCAAAGUCUGCUUCCUCAGUCCGGUCAGGACCUAUCAGGACCUCAGGCCACAUCCGAGUGGAGGGUCUACGCCUGGGAAACUCAAAGAACGCAGAACAUUCAUGAAAUCUACAAUACCAGCCCCCCCACACACAGUGCCAACCCCCGCAGCUGCACUCAUGCACCCAACUUCAUUCAUUUCGUCUGACUCUGCAGGAUGUUGAAGCAGCUCUGCAGCAGAUCAGGGAGGACAGCAGCGACCAGAGAAGACCGCAGCUCAAGGUGAGGAAGAGGAGACGAAGCUGCUGCUUCCAGCUCCAUGAGUCUGUGAACCCCAGCUGCUCUCAUUCAACAUCGCUAGAGCACAGAAAACGAUGAGAAAGCUUCUCGUGUGACGUUUCCCCAGAGAGGAAUCACGUUUGAAGUUUGCUUAAACGAUGAAGAGGAGGUCAAAGAGGAGAGCGGACCCACAGAGGAGGUGACGCUCGGAGGAGGACGGAAUCUGCUCCUCCUUUUCCCUUCACUCACUCUUUGAAUCAAACUCCAGGACGGGAAGAGGAUGAACCUGGAGGAGUGGUUUCGGGUGAGAAGAGGGUGGAGCAUGAGGUGUCCUCAGACGGCGCUGGACGCCCUCGCGGACAUGGACGUCAACUCGGCGUCCCACACGGCCGCUGGAGCUGCAGAAGGUGCAGGACGGGUCUGCGUUUGAGCCCACAUGAUUGUUUCCGUUUGCUCCUCACUGACCUAAAAAGUUCCCUUUCAGCUCUCACAGAGGAGGGGGCCACAGGUCGCAGGCGGUGGGUGGACACCCCCCCAAAAUCCCUGCUGGAUGCUCUGGGUCAGGCUGAACUGACAUCAUCCACUCUGGACUCACCGGCUGCAGGUCAGAACCCGGACAGAACCUGCAGACUCUCACCUGGCAGCACCCGUGAAACAGGAAGUCUGACCGUUUCAGGGGGGAUUUACAGACACCCCCCAAGAUCGUAUUUGUGACGCCGAAAAUAAGACGGGUGGGCCUCUAAGCUCCCAGAAACAGGGAGGGGAAGAGGGGCGGGGUUGUUCUGCUCCAAUGGUCCUGCCCACAACUCAGAGGUGGAGUUCCAGUGAACUUCUGCUGCUCUGCAGAAAUUAAGUCCUAGAGAACGACACGGGUUUUUAGGGUUUUGACGACAAUCAAUAAUCAUAAGUAAAAGACCUCUGCGAACGCUUUGACAACAGAUGAAAAUGGGAAACAUUGAGAUGUUUUGUCCUCACAGACCUGGAGUCAGAGGACGUCACCAGGGAGGAGAAAGAGGGAAAACAGCCGGAUGGGGAAGAGGAGGAAGACUCUGAUGUGGAGUUGGAUGCAGAGCGUCUGGAGCCGCGGUCCGAUGACGAUGACACGUGAGUUAACGGUUAACGUGGCUGUCCGUGAGCCGUUGACCUGACGAUGACCCAACCCGGACAUCAGAGCCAAUCAUCUGGAAUAAAACCCCAAACCGAAGAGAAAACGCCUCAGAAGUGGUCGGGAGAGCGCCAGCAGAGCGGCGACCGAUUGAUUUUACAGUUAAAGCCACGUUUACAUCCAUUUUAGAUCAAAAACAAACAUCAUUCCUUGUCGUUUUUAAAUUGUCCAACAGCUGAGCAAACAGAUGAGAGCUCUUGUGUUGGUCAGACUGUGACACACGGAGUAUAUUUGAAUAAACCCCUUUUGUAAUUUAGACUAAACUUUAUAUUAUAUAUGAUAUUUGCACCCUUUUAUUAUGCUGGACUGGACAAAAAAGAAGAAGAGGGACAAAGAGGGGGGGAGGGGGGGGGGGGGGGGUAAAAUCAGAAAGCAAGAAGUUGCUGGAAGUUUAUAAUCAUUGCUAAAAGGAUAAAAGGGGCGGGGCCUGUCCACACACACAAUCAGUUGUUACAAACAUGCCUGUUGGCUCCAAAAAUCUUCACAUAUAAACAUUUCAACAUGGACUCAACACAAAUGGAUGAUGGAACGUAAAAGCAAGAGAGCAGAGAGAGGCUGCAAGCUCCAGCCCAGCCUCUCCCCCUAAAAAAACGUUUAUAUCUAUUCUCACAAAACGCUGUGAUGUUUUUCCAUAAAGACAAAGAACUGAAGAAGGAAAAAUAAACCUGGGGUGAAGGCAGUUGAAUUUUGUGGUUCUCAACAGGAACUUUGAGGAAUCCGAGGACGAGCUGAAGGAGGAGGUGGCAGACUCCAUGAGGAACCUGUUGGUCAUGGAGGACUCCGGCUCCGAGGAGCACGGAGAAGCCGAGAGCUGCAACGGAUCCUCAGCAGGUCCACCCGUGUGACGGAGGAACCGAAGGGCGGCGGCAUCGGUCCGGCUGAACAUGAACAGCCUCAGCCCUGCCGACCAUGAACCAACACUAAUGUCCCUUCUAACAAAAACCCAACAGUUUCUGAAAGCUUCAGGUCUGUUGGUCUGAGGUUAGAAAAAAAGCAAAGGAACCAGAGAAUUAUGAGCAGAACAGCAAGAGAAACCCCUGGAAGGAACGAGUGUUUAUGGACAAGAAGUUUGCUUCUCUAAACUGCCUCCUGUGUUCGGCUAAAGGAAAACACUCUCAUGUGUUUCUAUGCAGACAAAAUGUCUUGGUUUAGUUUUCCCUGAUGUGAGCAGAUCAUGUAGAAUUUCAGGUCAGACUUUUCAGCGUUGAGUAUUUCCACCGUCUAACAUCCUAAACGAUGAAAACUCCAAUCUUUGGAUUGAGAUGCUCACAGGAGUUUAUCCUCUG